AUUCAGCCGACGAGUCCCAAAUGGGGCGAAACAUGCGUCCUGGAU
rfam:Schistosoma curassoni strain Dakar, Senegal genome assembly, scaffold: SCTD_scaffold0006066